CUUUAGCGCUGUUUGUGGCUUUGAGCACCGCUGCACCACGCAAACGGCACAACCACAUCAAGAUCCCAAGGGAGUGUCAAAACAGUAAGUUUUGCUCUAUCCGGCCAGACGGAUAUGACGAAAUCGAGCGCAGGGUUAAUCGACACUUAUCACCUUAUAUGAUUGGGAACUCUCAGGAAAGAUAUGGACCAAUACCUACAACUGAAAGAAUUGAAACUAACGAUGAUAACUGCCCCAGCAUAAGAUCGGUGAGAUGUCUUUGGAAUACUUUGUAACGAUAAUUGUAGUCAUCGUAAACAUAUAUAACAGUAAUACAGGAUAUUAAUAUCUUUGAAAUAAUUUGUAAACUGUAGUCAUGUCUCGA